UUUUUGUUUUGUUUAUUUAUCUUCUUUUUUUUUUAGUCCAAAUAUACAACAUUGAUCACGUCGAGCAAUACGAAGAUGACGGUGCUUAUCGCGAAGAUGGCGAACAACAACAGUACUCGUCCACUUUUUAUUAUCAUUUUUAACCACGUUUUGUUCAAGUACGCGGAGUUUAAUCGUGUCGAGCCUAUCACGAAGAUGGCCGCUCGAUUAAUUCUUUUGACCAUGUCGAGCCUAUCACGAAGAUGGCCGCACGGUUUACGCUUUCGACCAUGUCGAGCCUAUCACGAAGAUGGCCGCACGGUUUACGUAGUAAAAUAUUCGGUGUUCGUUCGACCAUGUCGAGCCUAUCACGAAGAUGGCCGCACGGUUUUCGUAACAAAAUAAAUGGUGCUAGAUCAUCCAUUUUGACCAUGUCGAGCCUAUCACGAAGAUGGCCGCACGGUUUGGAGAUUAACAAUACAUACGCACGGCGGAAGUGACGAUUUGAUGUCAGAUUUGAUUGGUUCGAAACCUAUCACGAAGAUGGUUGGGUUGAUCAAACCAACAAAAAAAAUCGCCCUUACGCUAUACAUAUGCAUGCGUAUCUCCUAUUAUUGUAGAAAUCGUUGUGAUUGUCGUUGUCGAAGUCGUCGUUGUCGCGCCAUCAUCGAAGUCGUCGCCGUC
rnacentral:lncRNA from 1 species